AUUGAACGCUGGCGGCAUGCUUUACACAUGCAAGUCGAACGGCAGCGCGGGCUUCGUGCUGGCGGCGAGUGGCGGACGGGUGAGUAAUGCAUCGGAACGUGCCCAGCAGUGGGGGAUAGGCCGGCGAAAGCCGGAUUAAUACCGCAUACGACCUGAUGGUGAAAGGGGGGGACCGAAAGGCCUCGCGCUAUUGGAGCGGCCGAUGUCGGAUUAGCUAGUUGGUGGGGUAAGGGCUUACCAAGGCGACGAUCCGUAGCUGGUCUGAGAGGACGACCAGCCACACUGGAACUGAGACACGGCCCAGACUCCUACGGGAGGCAGCAGUGGGGAAUUUUGGACAAUGGGGGCAACCCUGAUCCAGCCAUGCCGCGUGCGUGAAGAAGGCCUUCGGGUUGUAAACCGCUUUUAUUCGGGAAGAAAUCCUCUGGGCUAAUACCCCGGGGGGAUGACGGUACCGGAAGAAUAAGCACCGGCUAACUACGUG
rnacentral:rRNA from 1 species